rnacentral:rRNA from 1 species
AAGAAAGCUUGCUUUCUUUGCUGGCGACCGGCGCACGGGUGAGUAACACGUAUCCAACCUACCCUUUACUCGGGGAUAGCCUUUCGAAAGAAAGAUUAAUACCCGAUAGCAUAAUGAUUCCGCAUGGUUUCAUUAUUAAAGGAUUCCGGUAAAGGAUGGGGAUGCGUUCCAUUAGGUUGUUGGUGGGGUAACGGCCCACCAAGCCUUCGAUGGAUAGGGGUUCUGAGAGGAAGGUCCCCCACAUUGGAACUGAGACGCGGUCCAAACUCCUACGGGAGGCAGCAUG